CGUCCCUUUUCCUAUGGAGCUAUCCCGAUUCAAUUUUUCCCCAUCAACUAGGGUUAGGAGAUGGUCGCUUCGCCCAGCACGACGCCCUUGUUCCGCGCAGGGCCGUGGCCGGCGACCGCGUCUAAUUCCUUCUCUCAUCUCAGGCGGCCGGCGAUCGUGGCUAAUUCUUCUCCGGCCUUCCCUCAUCUCCGGCGGCUGGCCCAACACGCCAAUCAUCCUCUGAGCAUUCCCCAUCGGAUUGGUACUGGAUCUAAUAAGUCUCAAGUAACUAUGAAAUGCCAGAGCGAGGUGAGCAAGGCUCCACCUUUGGCUAUUUGUGACGCCCAGUCUGAUGCAGAAUGUGCCGUCCACACUAGACCAAGUGCCGAAAUUGUAUUUAUCACACCGCAAAAAUUGUAUAGUGCACCUUUCUGUGCUCAUCUUAUACUCCGGAGUGUGAUGAUGACAUCAGGCCAGCCAUAGGGAUGACUUUUAUGGAUUUGAAGGCAGCCAAGGAUUUCUAUGAAGCUUAUGCACAUCAUGUUGGUUUCUCAGUACGUGUGGGACAACACAAGACUGGCAACGGUGUCAUUACUCACAAUCGUUUCUACUUUGAUCGUGAAGGUUUCCACGAAGAGCGGAAAGGUAAGGAAAACUUAGUACAUGGCACUGGCAGUAAGAGGAAAUAUGAGAGGAAAAUCACUAGAUGUGGGUGUGAGGCUAAACUUGCGGUAAAACGUAAGAUUGAGAAUACGUUUGCUGGUGGCAGUAAAGACAUGUGAAGGUUUCAUAAACAAAGACUACUGCAGGAUGUUUGGAGUUGCAGUGGUGCACUGAUACGUUCUUCAGCUUGUACUCGAGUUAUGUCCGAUAUAUAAACGUGAGAUUUACUAUGACUGUUAAUGGCUAAUGAGUUAGUGAUGUGUCUAUGUUCUAACAAAACACCCUAGCAUAAUGCGGUUAACUACUGUACGUGCCUAUGUUGUAACAAAACUCCCUAGCAUAAUGUAGCUAUCAUGCCUUAACUACUGUACAUGUUGUUGAAGUAUGCAGUACUACAAGUGAAUACUGGGCUACUAAAAUUAGCUUCCUUCAAUUUUCUGUUGUCUCGUCUGUGGCAUUGCAUGUUAGUUGUUUUAGUUUCCUAAAUGCGAUUUUGCUGGUACUCUGCUAUUAGGAGACUAUUUAGAAUCAGCUUAUGUCAGUUCUGGUAUCCAUUGCAGCUACUUUUCCAUUUUAAAUCGAUGUGUAUGCAUCUCUGGCAUGCGUGGUGAAUCAUAGGCACAGCGCAUGGCUUACAGAUCCUACUUGCUGACAAAAAACUGGAAAUAAGUGGCAAGAGGCUAGCUGUGUUACUUGUAGGCCUGAGGGGUUCCAUGUCAAAUGUACUCUCUGGUUGCGGGCGUUGUUUUGCAAAUAGCACUGAGCAGUUACGAGUCAAUCUGGCCCAUACAAAUAGCAUCCAACAGUCUGUCCUCAGGUUUCCAGGAUUCCACUGAAUAUGUGGUUUCCAGGUGAUAUUGUCUCGACCUAUAUAUUAAUGACUACCACUCUGCCAUUAUUACUUAUCUGAAAUCUUGUUUCUCAAAUAUAUGACUGACAAGCAUGCAAGAUAGUAAAAUUCUGUUAAGUACCAGUUAUACUCUCGAGUCUCGACCGAUCGCUCCCUAGUAGUGCUUCGGUUUACAGAAUUUCGAUUACAGAGCCUUAUGCCUAUUUGGCUACUUGAAUUAUACGGUAAGAACUGAGUUGAAUAUUACUAAUGCUAGAAUGGACAAUGCAACUGAAUAAAUUUAGUGAGGACUGAAGAGUAGCUGAAGCUGGGAAGAGAAGGUAACAGGUCGCACAACCUUGCUCUUGAUUGGAGUGCUUCUUUUCUUCCUAUGAGAAAAAGAUUUUGGUUCAUUUUGAUGUGAUUGCAGCAAAGCCAAUUGAUAAUCUUAUCGAUGCAGUGCUGUUAAAUCAUCAAUUACUAAUUUACUGUUGGAAAUUUUCUUUCUUGGGGAAGCUACAGAAACCAACCCCUUCAAAUGAGUUAGCAUGUGAUUAAGGUCUUCCUUUUCUCAUGUUUUGGCAGAGAAAUAUUCAUCAACACAAAGAACUCAACUCUUUGCCUUUACUGAUUGAAGGAGUAAAUUACUGCCAUGGAGAAAACAUAAGGUUCCCUAACACUAGCCAAUGAAAAUGUUGAAAGAAGUUUAUAUAUAUAUAUAUAUAUAUAUAUAUAU